rnacentral:lncRNA from 1 species
AGGACCACGGAAUAAUGAGACACACUGCCCUAGAGCAAGGGGCCAGGGCACUGAUGCGAAGUGGCUCAGCUGGAAAGGGUAAAUGGUGAUGACAGCAAGACUGCAUAAAGCAGAAGAUGAGGGGGAAAACCGGCUCAGCCGUGACUUGGGGCAUCCACAGAUCGAACUAUUGAGGAAUCUAGACAGAGGGCAGCACUCAGGAGCCCGGCUGUGGGAGUUGAUCCCAGGAGAGCUCGUGAACUGGAACGAGUCCAAGCCUGCAGCUGGACCCACGACUACAUCAGAUGCUGAGAGCAGAGGAGAAAGCAAAGGAGCUAGAAGAGCUGGGCAGAGGAAACUUCUGCCAAGAAAAGGUGCAGGGGGAAGUCAGUACAAUUCAACCAGAGAGGCACAGAGGGGGAAGAUGAGCAACACUCUUGUGAAUAUUUUCUUCAUCAUCAACCUUUUCUUAUUAAAAUAUUUUCCUCAUUAGUAUUUUUUAUUAAGAUGUUCUUCAAAAAUCUUUAUGUAUACAUUCUUCAAAUCACUCCAUAAGUAAUUUUUUCAUAAAAUAUCCUUUAUGGAAACAUUCUUCAUGAACAUGAAUAUAUCCAAUGACCGUAUCCAUUAAUAUAUUCUUGAUUAUGACUAUUUUAAUAUAUUCAUAAGAAUAUAUUAAAAUAGUGAAUAUAACAUUGUUUCUAUUUUUAAAGAACCUAUUUUUGAAGAUAGACAUUAAAUAUGCUCCUAUUUGUGAUCAUUUAUUCAAGCAAAUAUUUGAGCUCCCGUGAUGUGCUGGGCACUGUUCUAGAUCCUGUCUGUAAAGAGAGACAAGACAGGCAUGGUCCUUGCUCCCAUGCAGCUUACAUUCUGUGUCAGCAAUAUGUUCUCAAUAAAGGGGAAAAUGUUAUGUAUAUUUUUAUAACUAAGAAAUAUGAGGGAAGAAUAUAAUUUAAUGCCCUCAUUUUCCCCAUCUCUGCUGGUCAAUGCUCCCUGUCUUUCCUUCAGCAAAAAAUAC